UACUGCUUUAUACAGGGAAAAUUUCUUUCCCUUCCAUUUAGAAAACCAUGUUUAUGAGACAGGACCUUCUUAUAUCGCCCAAGCUAUGUGGCUAACUAAAGAUAAAACAAUCCGGCUGUUUGUAAUGUGGACUUGACUAAUCUGUAGGUCAUUGAAAGAGUCUAUGGGGAGUUCCUAUUUUUCCGGAUGGUGGACUCUGCCAUGAGUCUGAUUUCUUCAAAGCAUUUGCUCAUUGCGGAAAGUAGAAUUAUUAUAUUAUGAGGUAGCAAAGGAAGAAAAAUCCACUGUGAAAGUCCAUUUGGUACCUAGAUCCCAUUCCAUCACAUGAUUAAUUCCUCUUGGCUACCUCCAGCGGUUUGAACUGACAGCAGGGGUAAGUGAUUCUCGCUCCAAGGAGCUGGUUGUAUCACAUCUCCUUGAGAUUCUCCUUGUAUAGCAUCUCGGUUUAAAAAGCUGAUCUUGAAUCUUUGUGCAAUGAGAAUCUACUCGUGCCAAGUUCGUUUAAGAUUGCCAUUAAGCUAUACUAAUAAUGGUCCUCAGUUUCUUGCUGAAGAACAGUACUACAACAACAACAUACCCAGUAUUAUCCCACAUGAUGGGGUCUGGGGAGAGUAGUGUGUACGCAGACGGUACCCCUACUUUUGCUAAAGAACAAUCUAUAUUAAAAUAUAAAGUUGCAUUUGUAUCAGUUCUGGUUUGAGAAUGAAUGACAUAUAGGCACUUGAAAUGGAAACAGAAGCAGAUGGUCUCGUUCCAAAGAGCUCUCUAUGCUCAGCUAUCCCACCACUAUAUUAUCUUUGGUGAAUUCAAUUCAUAUACACUGACACUGUAAUCAAUUGACUCUGUGAGUAUAUUUUUGACUAAUUAUAGUAAGUUACUUGCCUUGUUCA